rnacentral:lncRNA from 1 species
UUACAUGCCCUGGGUGUUUGUGUCCUGUUUUCUGUGCUUGUGUGCUGUUUUCUCUGUCUCUCUCUCCCUGCAGGUUUCUCCACUGCAGUAGAGGUGUGGCUGAUCUGCUGAUGAGCAGCAGACUAUAGCUGCGUUUCCAUUACAUUUUUUCGCAAAAUUAAAGCGAUGUUUAUCAAAUUUCGACAAAGUACAAUUGCGAUUUGCGGGUGUUUCCAUUGAAUGGUGUUCAGUGUAUAAGCGAGCCGUCUGCCUCUCGUGAGCCGUGUUUGAAUGGCCGUGUUCCUUAAGCCUUUUUGCACACCAACAUGGAGGAGUUACAUUUCUCUUUUAUUAUUUGUAGAAAUAACUCCGUCUCCUCCUCCGUCCACACAUACCGCACCAUCUUUGCUUGAAAUGAACUGGUCACAUGACCCGCUACGUCACGUCCAGUGAUGUAGAAUUGCGAGAAUAGUGUUUCCAUUACACUUUUGCGAUAUACUUCGAUAUCGACACGUCUGAAAAACCACCUCAUGAGAACGUAAAAACUUUUAGCAAUAUUUGAGAGGUUUUUCGAAAUGUAGGUGUUUCCAUUACCAGUUUUCUAUUGCGAUAUUUAGGUUUUGCGCAAAUCUAUGGGUAAUGGAAACCCAACUUAUAUUAAGUAAGCGAGUACUGUGGUCUCUCUCUCUCCCAUUCCUUCCUCUGGCAGUGAUCCUGUGUGGACCUGGUUCAAAGAGUGUGUGACUCUGGUGUGGUUCAGUAUUGGCUGGACUAAGCAGGCCUCCAGUGGCAGUGGAGCCUGCAGUGCUUUUGCUGUUUACCUUUUGUUACCUUAGCCUCCCAUUUUGUUGUAUUUGGUGUUUUUCUCGGCCUAGUGCUUGUUUUACGUUUGUUAUGUAACCUCAAAGAAUAAACUUUUCUGUUUUAUAAAUUACCUUGGACACCAUUACUUAACAUUGGUUCUUUUUUAAACUGUUGUUGCUACCUUCAUCCCCUUUUCACAUCUUUUGGUUCGCUGGGCUGUAUCAUGUUCCUUUUACCUUGGUUACAAGUGUAAGUAAUGAUGUCUGCAUGCCAAGUUAGCUUACCUUUACUGUGUAUUAACAGCUUCCUCAGGUGAGUUAGGGGAGUGUCUUGCUGGGCUGUAUCAGCCUUUCUAACAGGCGCUCAUUUAUUGUUUUGCCUUUUUUAUUUUCAGAGUAAUCCUGGGUGGAGAUUUAAAUCUCCAAAGGGGGCUGGCAUUUCAGAGUUUCAACCGCUGAUGUGUUGCCUGUAAGUCGCCUCGAGCCUGGCAUGCUCCAGAAGAUAGGUAGGUAGAGUUCAAUUAGGCAGGUUCUGAGGGGGUUUGUUUUUGGUAAGGUUAGAUUGUGCUCAGUUUGUUUGGUGUGGCAUUUGACAUUAAUCUUACGUGUUGACACCGGUGUUUGUGAUUCGAUAGUAGUAGCUUUAGUUUACCUUGCUAAGUGUUGGCUGGACUUCCUGUUUUUCCCUGUUUGCCUGGUCUGGCUGUACUCUUUUCCAGAGCUUCCUCCCCUCCCCCGGCGCUGAGGCUGAGUGAGACGACAUACCUGCUCCUCAUCUCCAAUCAAGGGACUUUAAGAAGCCUGCAGCCCUCAGUCUCAGCGCCUGAGUAUUGUCUACCCUUCCUAGCGGUACAGACGCAUCUCCUGGCCUUCGUCGUUGGUAUAACGUUCUGAACUUUACUCCUUGUGCCUCUUUGCAUGUCCUUUAACUCCUGUCUCCUCUGUUUUCUCCUGCAGUGUCUCCAGCCCACACGACAGCCAGCCAACCAACCGGACUUCCUUUGUUUCCUUAUCUAUCCCUUUCUGUUUUUGGACAUUAAAUUCGUUUUACGUUGAGCUCUGUCUCAGUGUCUGCUUCUGGGUCCUCACUACAAGCCUGCCUCACAACACGGUGUUUGUGAUUCGAUAGUAGUAGCUUUAGUUUACCUUGCUAAGUGUUGCUAGGCUAUUUUUGGUUGUGCUGCAUUUCUUGUUUUUUCUCUUUUACAAUGGCAGCUUUUGAUGUGACUUUGUUUGUAUCAAAUCCAAUGCUGACACAGUUUGAUAAAUGUUAAAGGAGUGAUCUGCGUGAAAUUGCAGAGUAUUAUUGUAUUCCUGUGUCCAGUUCUCUUGUUAAAGCUGAGAUGAAAGCUGUUCUUUUGGAGGGCUUAAUGAAUAAAGGCAUCUUUAGUUUACCUGUAUCAAGUGACACAGGGUUAGCAGGUGUGUUCUCUGCCGAGGAAUGCUCUGAUCCUCCAGUGGAGAAGGCGAGUGAGCCUCCUGUUGGUUUGACUCCUGUUGUACAAAGUGGUAAGGUUGAGGAAAAGCCGUUAACUUCGCCACAGUUUGUUCCUUUCUCAGCUGAGUCAACACCUGGCUCUGAGCUUGAUGCCUAGUUGAAGGUACAGUUAGCUCGCAUUCAAAUGGAGAAAGAGGAUCGGGAUCAGGAGUUUCAGCUCUGUAGAGAGCUCAAAGUUAAAAAGCUGGAAGCAGAAACUGCGAUUUAAUUGCAUCAGUUAGAAUUGCAGGCUGGUUCAGUGCAUUCUGUUGCCAGUACUGCACCCUCAUCUGGUUCUGCUACUGCGUUUAAUGUGAGAAGGCACAAUUCUUUGGUUCCUGUUUUUCGUGAGUCUGAGGUAGAAUCCAACUUUGGCGCAUUUGAGCAUAUUGCUGCUGCUUUGCAUUGGCCUAAUGAUGUGUGGUCUAUCCUGUUGCAGUAUAAAUUAACAGGUAAGGUUCUUGUUUGAGGCUUGUUCUUGUUUGUCAGAGCAGGAUGGUUUAAAUUAUGAUAAGGUGAAGAGUGCUAUCCUGCGCACUUAUGAGCUGGUGCCAGAGGCAUACAGACAGCGCUGUCACAGUCUUAGGAAACCAUCAAAUCAAACUUACAUUGACUUUGCCAGAGAGAAGGGAUUCUGUUUGACCUAUGGUGUGCAGCAUGCAAGACUGCUGAUUUUAACUCACUGCGCGAGUUGAUGUUGGUAAAGGAGUUUAAAAACUGUGUAAACAACCGUUUUGCUGUUUAUUUAAAUGAACAGAAAGUUUCCACUCUGCAGCAAGCUGUAAUCCUCGCUGAUGAGUUCAGACUCAUACACAAAAACCUGUUUGUCGCUCGUGAAUCCUCUCCCUGUGACUCUCAUGAGAGCACUGAUGCAAAUGUGUGUACAUCUGCUGCAUUGGGUCCAAAGGGAAGAAGGCCUUGUUUCUCCUGUCAUAAGUUUGACCAUUUGAUUGCUGAAUGCGCAGCGUGGAAGCAUAAGCAACAAGGGUCAGUUUCAAAACAGCCAAAGGGGGUGGGGUUGAUUAAAUCUUCUUCAAGUGUCCAGCUUCCUUUUCUUAAAGAGCCAGAUGACUGUUUCAAACCUUUUAUUUUUGAUGGGCUGGUUUCUCUGACAGGGAAAGCUGUGUUGCGGCAUGCUCACAGUCUCUGAUCCUAUCUGGUGUCAUGUCGUUGGGUGAACAUUCAGCCUGUGAUGUGAGUGCAGUGGUAAGGGGCAUUGAAAUGGGGUUUCUGCCUGCACCUCUCCACCACAUACAUAUGCAAUCUUCUUUAGCCACUGGGUUUUUUGAUGUAGGUGUCCGUUCAUGUUUUCCUAUUGAUGGCGUAGACUUAAUCAUGGGAAAUGAUAUAGCUAGUGGAAAAGUCUACCCUGUUCCUGAAGUCGUGAAUGUUCCAAUUCCAGACUCUGUACAUGACAGCUUAGUCCAGAAUCACCCUGAAGUCUUUACUGUAAGUGUGUUGACCAGAUCUCAGGCCUGUAAGCAGGCCAAGGAUGUUGACUUGUCUGAUACCUUGUUUGCAUCUGCUGUGGCAGGGGAUAAUCUGUCCUCACCAGUAAACUGCACCGUAGGGCUGAAAAAGGUGUAAGAGUCUGUUGCGGCACCAGUUCCUCUCCCUUUAACUCGAGAAUCACUCAUUUCUGCUCAGAAAAAUGAUCUUUCCCUGGUUAAGUGUAUUAGCGCUGCUUCUCAGAACUCUAGUGGGUGCAAAAAGGGGCAGUCGUUCUUUUUUGAUAAGGGUUUGUUGAUGCGCAGGUGGGCCUCUCAGCCAGUGAGUACUGGAGAUGGUUCAGGUGAGGAUUGGGGUACAGUGUACCAGAUAGUUGUGCCAAUUAGUUGUCGACAACAUGUGUUCGAAUUAAAAUUCAAGCACCAUUGGUCUGGACAUUUGGGAAUGACAAAGACUUAUGACGGUGUUCUACAACAUUUCUUCUGGCCAGGACUGAAAAGUGAUGUGUCGUAGUUCUGGUGUGCCUUUUGUAUUGUUUGUCAUUCGGGAUGCCAGGCAGGAGUCUUUGGGGUUCAGCCCAGCUGAAAUUGUCUUCGACCACAAUGUGCGUAGCCCCUUGAAAGUGUUGCAAGAGAAAUUUGUGUCUAGUGUAUCUCCUCAACUUAAUGUGUCUGAUUUUGUAUUCACCGUGCUGCCUUGCUUUGUGUGGACACAGUAUGGGGAAAUUUAAUUUUUUUGCUGCCAAGUCUCUCCUCUGUGGUGCCCUUGUGCUGGUUGCACCAAACUUCUCAGUGCUUUUCAAG